rnacentral:rRNA from 1 species
GACGAACGCUGGCGGCGUGCUUAACACAUGCAAGUCGAACGGAAAGGCCCUGCUUUUGUGGGGUGCUCGAGUGGCGAACGGGUGAGUAACACGUGAGUAACCGGCCCUUGACUUUGGGAUAACUUCAGGAAACUGGGGCUAAUACCGGAUAGGAGCUCCUGCUGCAUGGUGGGGGUUGGAAAGUUUCGGCGGUUGGGGAUGGACUCGCGGCUUAUCAGCUUGUUGGUGGGGUAGUGGCUUACCAAGGCUUUGACGGGUAGCCGGCCUGAGAGGGUGACCGGCCACAUUGGGACUGAGAUACGGCCCAGACUCCUACGGGGGGCAGCAGUGGGGAGUAUUGCACAAUGGGCGGAAGCCUGAUGCAGCGACGCCGCGUGCGGGAUGACGGCCUUCGGGUUGUAAACCGCUUUAGCCUGUGACGAAGCGUGAGUGACGGUAAUGGGUAAAGAAGCACCGGCUAACUACGUG